rnacentral:misc_RNA from 1 species
GAUGAAGAACGUAGCGAAAUGCGAUACGUAAUGUGAAUUGCAGAAUUCAGUGAAUCAUCGAGUCUUUGAACGCACAUUGCGCCCCCUGGUAUUCCGGGGGGCAUGCCUGUCCGAGCGUCAUUGCUGCCCUCAAGCACGGCUUGUGUGUUGGGCCUCCGUCCUCCUCCCGGGGGACGGGCCCGAAAGGCAGCGGCGGCACCGCGUCCGGUCCUCGAGCGUAUGGGGCUUCGUCACCCGCUCUUGUAGGCCCGGCCGGCGCUUGCCGACACAUCAAUCUUUUUUCCAGGUUGACCUCGGAUCAGGUAGGGAUACCCGCUGAACUUAAGCAUAUCAAUAGCGGAGGAA